UCUAGAGGCUUCGUCAAUGGGGGAAACCCUGAACGAGCGACGCCGCGUGUGGGAUUGAAGGCCUUCGGGUCGUAAACCACUGUCAAGCGGGAAGAAUGCCCGGAUGGCGAAUCCGGGAGCGACGGUACCGCUGGAGGAAGCCCCGGCUAACUCCGUGCCAGCAGCCGCGGUAAUCCGGAGGGGGCAAGCGUUGUUCGGAUUUACUGGGCGUAAAGGGUGUGUAGGCGGUUGCGCAAGUCUGGUGUGAAAUCUUCACCGCUCAACGGGAAGCGGUCAUUGGAAACUGCGUAACUCGA
rnacentral:rRNA from 1 species